UAAAGGCUUUCAAAUUAAAUAUAAACGAACCAUUACAAGAUAAGACGAAAGUCUUAUAGCUGGAUAAAGUUUGCAUGAAAGUGGUUGAAUCUCCUCCUAUGAAAACAUAGAGAAAGAGACUAGAGUAACCAACAAUACAUGAAAGACAAAAGCUAGUGAUAGGAUCCAUGGCCGCGACGACCACGUUUUCCUCGUCCUCUAACUGUCUUCCAAUCCAUGUCUUGGUAUUUGGUUGGGAGUUUUAUUUCCCUUCCACCUCUUGACAAGCUGAGUGAGCUAGAAGGCUCUGUCACAACUUCAUCCACAUCUCCUAACAAUGUGAAACGAGAGGGGCUCUCAAAAGCACAAGCGUUAGAUGAUGUGGUUAAGGGAUCAACAACUAAAGUUUUCCGAGCCUCAGUGUUGAUAAUGCUUGAUGGAGAAGACUCCAUAAUAAAUGUAGUAAUGGGAGUAGACUGUUGAUCUACUAAUGUGGAUAAAGUGUUGACGGGGCCAAGUGUAGCAGCAAGAUUCUCCUGCUGAAUGGGUAAGGAAGAAGGUGCAGAAGCUAUCAAUGUGCUUCCCGCAGCAAGGUGGUCCACAGUAGUAUCUGAAGGAACAGAAGUAGGUGGCGAUGCGUGAAUGGUUUCAAGUGUGGAAUGGAGACCUUCUAUCUCUUUAAUAGAAGUCUGAGCUGGUGAACUAGCAUUUUCCUUUUGUUGUAGGACUAUAUCAAUAUCCACUACAGGGACCUCGGAAUGGUUAUCUUUUGGAGCUGACGAGCAAGGUUCUCUUGCUGAAUGGUUAUCUUCCGGAACCUGGACGGUCGGAGAUGGUAGAAGACACCUCUUCGCCUUGUGUCCGAGGUUUCCACACCUCUCACACAUAGAUGGAAUCCAUGUGUAUUCCACAUUAACAAAGAAAAUAUUACCUUGUUUAUCAUCCAGUGCAAUAAGUUUCGGAAAGUCUCUAUCCAGCUCCAUCUCCACUAAAACCUUUGCUUCGCCCAUACUAGUAGGAUCAAGUCGAGGUUUAUGCGUAAGGAUAGGUUCUCCAAGUCCUGAGGCAACAUGACUUAUUCCUAGUCUUGAAUAGCAACAGUCUGGUAUAUUCUUCAAAUUGGCCCAUACCGGAAGCGUGGAGACUUCAGGGAUCUUAAAGGAACCUUCGGGAACCCAUGGCAAUACAAAUAGCAAGCAAUCAUCAAUAUGCCACACCCCUCUCUGAAUAACCCAAUGACGAGUAGGUUGAUGCGGAAUAUGAAACAAGAAGGAAGAGUCACCAAGCUUCUUACAACUGAUCUUACAACUUCUUCCCCAUAUUCUAUUGACCACAGCAUGCACAAGACCCCCCGGUGGUAGAGAACACUUAUGGAACUUUCCAAUGAUGUACUCAUCCUUAUUUUCAGGACCUAGCUUAAGCACUUUUGAAGGAAUAGAUACCUCAGGUGUGCCAUCAAGACGGUAGGUAGGAGUGGCUGCACGGUAAAGGUUCCUCGACUGAGCGUUUAAUCUCGCAGCCCACGGAAAGCGGAGACUCCCAUCGGCUUUUAGUUCCGGAGGAGGAAGCUUCUCAAUCGGAGGCUGGACAGCUCGAGUAGGGAACUUACUCUUUGGUUUCUUAUUUAAAAUUUCGUCAUUUAAGGACGGCCAGAGAGCGGCUAACUGAUUCCCAACUAUCGCCGGAUCGUAAUCAUGAGGAGUACAUGGUUCGGAAGGCGUGGCCAGAGGUUUGAAGACAAGAGGUUUUGCCCAUGAACCUAAAGAAGGGACAAACUUUUCAGAAGCUUGAGUUCCGAUAUCCAAAGAAAUUGUUGUCGGAUUGUCAUUCUCAGGAGCUGAUAUCUGAAGCUGAUUUGAAGGAGAAAGAACCGUUUGCGAUGUAUUGUUGACCAUGGGAGUGGAUGUGUUCUGAAACUCAAGUGACGAUGUUCUCUGCAACUGAGCCGUCGGAGCAACCGAGUUUGAUUGAUUGACGUCGUUAAGUGAAUCUGAAGGAGGAGCGUCAUCCCAUCGGCUUUUAGUUCCGGAGGAGGAAGCUUCUCAAUCGGAGGCUGGACAGCUCGAGUAGGGAACUUACUCUUUGGUUUCUUAUUUAAAAUUUCGUCAUUUAAGGACGGCCAGAGAGCGGCUAACUGAUUCCCAACUAUCGCCGGAUCGUAAUCAUGAGGAGUACAUGGUUCGGAAGGCGUGGCCAGAGGUUUGAAGACAAGAGGUUUUGCCCAUGAACCUAAAGAAGGGACAAACUUUUCAGAAGCUUGAGUUCCGAUAUCCAAAGAAAUUGUUGUCGGAUUGUCAUUCUCAGGAGCUGAUAUCUGAAGCUGAUUUGAAGGAGAA
rnacentral:lncRNA from 1 species